AACGAACGCUGGCGGCAGGCCUAACACAUGCAAGUCGAACGGGACCUUCGGGUCUAGUGGCGGACGGGUGAGUAACGCGUGGGAACGUGCCCUUUGGUUCGGAAUAGCCUCGGGAAACUGGGAGUAAUACCGGAUACGGUCGAGAGACGAAAGAUUUAUCGCCGAAGGAUCGGCCCGCGUUGGAUUAGGUAGUUGGUGGGGUAAAGGCCUACCAAGCCGACGAUCCAUAGCUGGUUUGAGAGGAUGAUCAGCCACACUGGGACUGAGACACGGCCCAGACUCCUACGGGAGGCAGCAGUGGGGAAUCUUAGACAAUGGGGGAAACCCUGAUCUAGCCAUGCCGCGUGAUCGAUGAAGGCCUUAGGGUUGUAAAGAUCUUCCAGUGGGGGAAGAUAAUGACGGUACCCACAGAAGAAGCCCCCGGCUAAACUCCGUGCCAGCAGCCGCGGUAAUGUGACUACUG
rnacentral:rRNA from 1 species